GCACAGGUGUGAGCAAUUCACUCGUGCCACCAGAAAAACAUAACCUCAUUUAAGGGCUGGCGGCCACAAGGCAUAUACUUCUAUUUGGAGAUCCCCUCCUUUUUCAGUAUGCUCUGAUCCUUGGAAAUGUGAUUCCUAAAAGCAGAGCUGCUUGCAAAACAAAUGGAAGAAAUUGCCUUCAUUAGGCUUCCCUCCUCACCCCUCAAUGAGAACCUCUGGAGUUGUACCAUGCAGCUCCAUUGCUUCAUGCAGCAGUGCUCUGGCUGUGAGUUCCAGUAAUCUGACUACCCAGCUCGGUUCCUGUGAAGGUCAAUACAUGUGCUCACUACCAGCGGGAUUUGUCCCCUUUGCUUUAUGCCCGUGCCAUCACUGACACCUGCCCUUGCAGUCUGUGCCCCCACACACCAAGCAUUGCAGACCAGCACAACCAUAUCUGAACUCCCUCUGAGCAGCUGCGUGCUCACAAGGGUUGUGGAGUAUCUGCUGGGGUUGCUUUGCACCAACAUCCUCCUGGCCACGGUGCUGUGAGCUCCAAUGUGUCAA